GGGCUCCUGAUGGCACAUGUGAAACACAACCUUAAAAUAUCACACACACUAAGACUAACUAACGCCCUGUGAGUGUAUCAAAACAGUGUAAAAACAUGCAGUCCGUGCUAUCUAUCCACCGUCCAGUUUGCAGGCCAUUUUAUUUGGAUAAACUACAGGGACACAAACAACGACCACACGCUCCGCCUCUCAAGUCAAUCCAGACAAAUUCUAUGACUUGUGCUGAAGCUUUUAAGCUGUAAUUGAGCACAGGAUGCCCAGGAAAACCAAAGCCAGCUCUGGACAGACCUGCGUUUUUAUAGCUGCUAUAGUAUUCUGCUGCGCUUUUUUUUUCUCCCCCUGGCCAGACAGACACCACAAAACAGGCCAAGCGUGAUAGGAAGUCGCCACCUAAACACGGACUCAAACUCCAGCAGCUGAGGAUUUUUUCAACGACAUGGAAACAUAUAAUGUCUGUAAACAACUAAGGUGACAGAAAUGUGGGCCGACAGCCGAUGGCGACGACAGACGACCACACAUGGGCCAUGCAGAGAAACUGACCAACUCCACGGUCAAUGGGAGCACCUCUGACUCUCCAGUGGAGACCAUGCAGGUCUGCUGCUGCAGACGCCUCGUUUCCCAGGAUACCCUCUGCAGGCUGAUCCAGCAGAGUGACAAAAAGGACAUAAACGGCACUUUAGUGGGGGAUAAAUGCAAUUUUACAAAGAAAAAAAAAGAUAGAAAGGAAAAGAAAGACAGAAAUAAGUAUAAGUGUAGUGAUAGGGUUUCAACUUAAUUUGAAAAAAAGGAACACAUAAUGUAUAAACUAUAGGCUACUGCGUCAGAAAACCCUCGUCUUAAUUGCGCAUUUGAUAUUUAUGA